GGGCACAAAAAACACAAAAUAUUUUGUUUUCUUUAGAGUUUUAUUUUUUUAGGGGAAAUUAAACAUUUUGCAAACCACAUCAAAUUCGCGUAUUUAAUUAAAGGUACUGCCUUAGGGCAGGCAUUGUGGGGGUGCUAACACCUUCCCCACACGUAACCGACUUUCGAAACCAGAAUUUGGUUUUGUAGACCUUGCCUUAUCAUUUUAUGGUUUUUC
rnacentral:lncRNA from 1 species